rnacentral:rRNA from 1 species
UACGUAGGGUGCAAGCGUUGUCCGGAAUUAUUGGGCGUAAAGAGCUCGUAGGCGGUCUGUCGCGUCGGCUGUGAAAACCCGGGGCUCAACCCCGGGUCUGCAGUCGAUACGGGCAAACUGGAGUACUGCAGGGGAGACUGGAAUUCCUGGUGUAGCGGUGAAAUGCGCAGAUAUCAGGAGGAACACCGGUGGCGAAGGCGGGUCUCUGGGCAGUAACUGACGCUGAGGAGCGAAAGCGUGGGGAGCGAACAGG